rnacentral:rRNA from 1 species
GUAGGUGGCAAGCGUUGUCCGGGAAUUAUUGGGGCGUAAAGCGCGCGCAGGCGGUUCCUUAAGUCUGAUGUGAAAGCCCCCCGGGCUCAACCGGGGGAGGGGUCAUUGGAAACUGGGGAACUUGAGUGCAGAAGAGGAGAGCGGAAUUCCACGUGUAGCGGUGAAAUGCGUAGAGAUGUGGAGGAACACCAGUGGCGAAGGCGGCUCUCUGGUCUGUAACUGACGCUGAGGCGCGAAAGCGUGGGGAGCGAACAGGAUUAGAUACCCUGGUAGUCCACGCCGUAAACGAUGAGUGCUAAGUGUUAGAGGGUUUCCGCCCUUUAGUGCUGCAGCAAACGCAUUAAGCACUCCGCCUGGGGAGUACGGCCGCAAAGGCUG